UACGAAGGGGGCUAGCGUUGUUCGGAAUCACUGGGCGUAAAGCGCGCGUAGGCGGAUUGUUAAGUCGGGGGUGAAAUCCCGAGGCUCAACCUCGGAACUGCCUUCGAUACUGGUAAUCUUGAGUCCGGGAGAGGUGAGUGGAACUCCUAGUGUAGAGGUGAAAUUCGUAGAUAUUAGGAAGAACACCAGUGGCGAAGGCGGCUCACUGGCCCGGAACUGACGCUGAUGUGCGAAAGCGUGGGGAGCGAACAGG
rnacentral:rRNA from 1 species